AGUGUACAAAUUUGAAAUAUCAUUCAUCGAAAUAUGCUACUAACUAAUUUGUUAUUAUCCGGAAAUAUUUUAAUCAAAGAUAAGACACAGCAUGUGAAAGUGCGGCAUCUACACAACUGAUACACGAGGAUUAGCACUCCCAAUAAUCUAUUGAUAAAAUUAUCACGUGACAUGAUGCUGAUUAAUGUAUGACCACACGUGUGUGACCGCCUUUUUCAAACGCGGAAAUUGUAUAAUUUUCCUGGACAAUAUCUAGGACCGUUUUCAGCAAAGAAGAAUUCAUAGAAAUGUAUUAGAGACAGAACAGUAACUUAGGAAUGGGACAGAUCAGUAACUUAGGAAAGAAAGAUUUAAGGAUAAAAGUAAUAGCUGUCAAGGAAGAGUAAUGGAGGUC